UACGUAGGGGGCUAGCGUUGUCCGGAUUUAUUGGGCGUAAAGAGCGUGUAGGCGGCCAGGUAGGUCUGCUGUGAAAACUCGAGGCUCAACCUCGAGACGUCGGCGGAAACCAUCUGGCUAGAGUCCGGAAGAGGAGAGUGGAAUUCCUAGUGUAGCGGUGAAAUGCGCAGAUAUCAGGAAGAACACCCGUGGCGAAGGCGGCUCUCUGGGACGGUACUGACGCUGAGACGCGAAAGCGUGGGGAGCAAACAGG
rnacentral:rRNA from 1 species